UACAGAGGUCCCGAGCGUUGUUCGGAUUCACUGGGCGUAAAGGGCGCGUAGGCGGGAUGGCAAGUCGGUCGUGAAAUCCUUCGGCUCAACCGAAGAACGUCGGCCGAUACUGCCGUUCUUGAGGGAUGCAGAGGAGAUUGGAAUUCCCGGUGUAGCGGUGAAAUGUGUAGAGAUCGGGAGGAACACCGGUGGCGAAGGCGGGUCUCUGGGCAUCUCCUGACGCUGAGGCGCGAAAGCGUGGGGAGCAAACGGG
rnacentral:rRNA from 1 species